AGUUAGGGGGCAGCAAAGGUACGAUCGGUCAACCCCGCCAGGCCCGGAAGGGAGCAACGGUAGCUGUUUCUGCUUUGUGCUGUUUUCCUAGCUACU
rnacentral:SRP_RNA from 1 species